UACGAAGGGGGCUAGCGUUGUUCGGAAUUACUGGGCGUAAAGGGCGCGUAGGCGGCCUUCUAAGUCGGACGUGAAAUCCCUCGGCUUAACCGAGGAACUGCGUCCGAUACUGAAAGGCUUGAAUCCGGGAGAGGGAUGUGGAAUUCCAGGUGUAGCGGUGAAAUGACGUAGAUAUUGGGAGGAACACCAGUGGCGAAGGCGGCUACCUGGACCGGAACUGACGCUGAUGCGCGAAAGCAUGGGGAGCGAACAGG
rnacentral:rRNA from 1 species